rnacentral:rRNA from 1 species
AUUGAACGCUGGCGGCAGGCCUAACAAAUGCAAGUCGAGCGAGCGGCGGACGGGUGAGUAAUGUAUGGGGACUGCCCGCUAGCGGGGGAUAACUACUGGAAACGGUGGCUAAUAUCGUAUACUAUCGGAUAGCCCAUAUGGGAUUAGCUAGUAGGUGGGGUAAAGGCUCACCUAGGCGACGAGCUCUAGCUGGUCUGAGAGGAUGAUCAGCCACAGUGGGACGGAGAUACGGCCCAGACGCCUACGGAGGGAGCAGUGGGGGAUAUUGCACAAUGGGCGAAAGCCUGAUGCAGCGACGCCGCGUGGGGGAUGAAGGCUUUAGGGUUGUAAACCUCUUUCGCUAUCGAGCGGGUAGGUGGAGAAGAAGCGCCGGCUAACUACGUGCCAGCAGCCGCGGUAAUAC